GGCUUCCACAGGUUUUCCUUAGCUUAUUACUCCCGCUUUUUUGGGCUUUCUGUGUUUUUUUUUUUUUAUUCUUUUAACUCUAUUUAUAGAACACAUGGUAUAAAACACCAUUUUAAAAAUAUAUUUAAAACCUUUAGUGCAUCUGUUAAAUAAUAAAUAACACAUUCAAAAAAGAUCUUUUAAAAUUAGCAUUUAUGUAAGGAGGUACAGCAGAACAGAUGUCAAGAAUGUAUAAAUUUUAUUAUUGUUAUGAUUAUUAUGAUUAUGAUGAUGAUUAUUAUUAUUACUAUCUUUCACAUCUUUUUUGCACUUGCUUUUAGUAUUUUAUUGCUGUGCCUAGUUAACUCUCAGGACUUUACCUGCUACUUACAUUCCUAAGUGCCUUUUCCAUCUUUAACUCUUCCUUUCUGACUGCAAAGGAAACAAUAACUUUCUCUGGGGUCACUUGAAUUUAUUCACAUAUUCUAAUUAGAAAUAAAAUCCCUGAAUGGAGCAUCUGUAGUACAAGACAAUCUUGUUUUUGUAAGUUGAGAGUACUAGGAAGUAAGGAUUGUCUGUAGGUUCAUUAAAAUUAUUAUGCAUUCAAAUAACAAAAUAGUAUGUCCAUUAAAAAAAAAACCCACUAAGCUAAUACUCAUAUCUUUUCUGAAAGAUCUGUGACAUUUAAGUUAACUGUGUGCAACUUGCGGCAUCACACAUGAUUUUAACAAUAUUUUCUGACCUAAGCAAUUAACAGUUUAUCAAUAAAGGUCAUUGUUGAUGAGCUUCACCUGACUCUGAAAUUCUAUAUUACUGCUCAUACAGAUUACUUGGGGUAAAAAUAAAAAUAGGCUUGCAGAUGAAAUGGAAAAGUUUUAACAAAUGGUGCGAACAACAUCACUCAUCUGUAGUAAAUCAUUAAAAAUUCUAAACAAACAUGAAAUGGAUAGGAAAUCAAUUUUAUCAAGGUGUCUUUUAAAAUUAGAUGAAAAGUUGGUGGAGUCAAUGCAUCUUUCCUGACUCUAAAUGUUUGAUGUUUAAGACUUUUUAUUCUGGGAACUUAAGACUAUUUCUUCUGGAUUUCAGAAAACAGAAAGAAAACCAUUCAUAUGGUCUCAUGAUAAAAGAAACAACGCAUCCUGGAUUGCCAAGAUAUAAUUUCCUAAUUUAAAGGAUUGCAUUGAUCAAUACUUUGUCUUUAGUAAUGGAUGAAAGCAAUAAGUACCAAUGCAUACGAUCUGUGGCCAGUGAUUUUAAGAUAAUAUAAUUGUUAGGAAAUUAAAGUGACCAUUAAGAGAGAAUGUUUCCUGAAGGGAGUGUCAAGAGUUUGUCAACUCAUGUAUGAGCACUUGUAGAAAAGAAGGAAGGAAGGAAGGAAGGCAAAGACAAUGGCAAAUUUAAAAACUUCCAAUAAAUAUGUCGAACAUAGUCAUAACUUAUUAAUGAAAAUAUAAAGGGUUGUUCCAUGUGAAAAGGAAAGGUUAGUAAUAAUAAAGAUAAAUAUGGUCAUUAUAAUAUCUGGGGAAAUAAAACACACAUUCUCAUUUAUUGCGUGUGUAAGUCAGAGCAUUGCAGAAUUUUGCUGUAAUUGAACAGGCGUGUGAAAUGGAUACCAAAUCCAAAACAAAAAUUACAAGCUCCUAUAGUAUAUACAAAGAAGACAACUAUAUGCUUUAUUUUCUCCAGGGGAUAUGAAAGUCAACCCGAAGUAAUUCCUGUGUUUGAAGCAGGCCUUUGUAAGGGACUCAGCACUAUAUAUUGUCCUGGUGCUCCCUGGGAGGGGAGCAGUGUGAGGCUGGGGCAGCCACAGCUCUUUAUUCCCUCCAAACCAGUUUCUGUGCUGCUAAUUAGAAUUGGAUAUUGGUGGUCCUGGAAGUGUGGGAGACCAUCAAUGUUACUUUGUGUUACAUUUUAAUCACACAAGUUAGGACAUUCAGAAUUAUGGUUUCCAUGGUAACCACAACACUGAGCCCUGUGUGAAGGCAUUACAGUGAGGGUCUUUGAUUAAGAGAAAGUAAACCAGGAUUGAAACAAAAUGCUCCAUAUGUGUAGCUAAAGUUACCAAAGGGGGCAGGAGAAGGAGGAAAGAAAAAAGAAAAAGUACAGUUCCCUUUGCCUUUAAUUAUAUUUGCUUAAUGGUAGGUCUCGUGUUCAUGCAACACACUGAACAGUCUGUUAGAAUUCUCACGGGCAUGCUCUGUUUUCAUUGGAUUUUAAUGAUUAUUUUUCUAGCACCUUCUGAUUCCUUAAAAUUUAUCCUAUUUAUAUACACAUUUUCAUCUUAAAGUAACCGAUGAUGCCGAUGUUUGGGACCUUCUAACUGGUCCUGUGGAAGGAGGAGAGGUUUUUGUUUCUCCUCCUGAGAAGUGUUUCCUUUGAAAUGUGGUGAAGAAGAAUUUCAAUACCAGGUGCUUUGCCUACGACCGUUCAGUGGAAUCAUGGCGUUAUGAUAGUUCUCCCUAGUUCCGUUUUCUUCUAUGUGUGUAGUCGUCAGCAUGAGAAAAGUUCUAAUCCAAAACAGAAAGUAAGCAGUUCAAAAUGUAUUCAGUAUUAAACAUGGACAAUAUGAUAAAUAAGACCAAUGGAGUCACUAGUCACAGAACUCCAA
rnacentral:lncRNA from 1 species